UGGGGAAUAUUGGGCAAUGGGCGCAAGCCUGACCCAGCAACGCCGCGUGAGGGAAGAAGGCUUUCGGGUUGUAAACCUCUGUCCUUGGUGACGAAAAAAAUGACGGUAGCCAAGGAGGAAGCCCCGGCUAACUACGUGCCAGCAGCCGCGGUAAUACGUAGGGGGCGAGCGUUGUCCGGAAUUACUGGGCGUAAAGGGUGCGUAGGUGGCCUUUUAAGUUGGAUGUGAAAUCCCCGGGCUUAACUUGGGUGGUGCAUCUAAUACUGGAGGGCUAGAGUGCAGGAGAGGGAAGCGGAAUUCCUAGUGUAGCGGUGAAAUGCGUAGAUAUUAGGAGGAACACCAGUGGCGAAGGCGGCUUUCUGGACUGUAACUGACACUGAGGCACGAAAGCGUGGGGAGCAAACAG
rnacentral:rRNA from 1 species